rnacentral:rRNA from 1 species
GAUGAACGCUAGCGAUAGGCCUAACACAUGCAAGUCGAGGGGCAUCACAUGAAGUAGCAAUACGGAUGGUGGCGACCGGCGCACGGGUGAGUAACACGUAUGCAACCUGCCUUCAACAAGGGGAUAACCCGUUGAAAGACGGACUAAUACCCUAUAACACAGGGGUCCCGCAUGGGAAUAUUUAUUAAAGGACAACCGGUUGAAGAUGGGCAUGCGUUCCAUUAGCUAGUUGGCGGGGUAACGGCCCACCAAGGCAACGAUGGAUAGGGGAACUGAGAGGUUUAUCCCCCACACUGGUACUGAGACACGGACCAGACUCCUACGGGAGGCAGCAGUGAGGAAUAUUGGUCAAUGGACGCAAGUCUGAACCAGCCACGUCGCGUGAAGGAAGACGGCCCUACGGGUUGUAAACUUCUUUUGCAAGGGAAUAAAGUGGGCCACGUGUGGCCUUUUGCAAGUACCUUGCGAAUAAGGAUCGGCUAACUCCGUGCCAGCAGCCGCGGU